UUUUCCAUUCCUUAUCCCAGGCCAGCCUGAGGCCAAGAACAAGAUGGCGACACCACCAUUCCUUGUACAGAAGCCAACUAGGCUAGCAGCUGAGUCUUACUUUAAUACUGAGCACUUCCUGUCAGAAGAAGGAUGAGAACUACCACUGCUACCUCAAGAAGACACAACACACACACCCUCCACCGUCCUGAGAAAACCCCUUAAUCCCUAUUUUAUUUUAUUUUUUACUUUGGUAGAUUUACAAAAAUAAAAACCCAUACCAAAAAAUAAAUUUUAGAAUGGGGCAAGAUUAGACAUGGAUGCACAAAGCACCUCAAUGACCUCCCCCACCCCUCGUGCAAAAUAGCUCACUGAGCCAUAGGUGGCUUCAAGGUCUUUCUCAAUUAUUUGCUGUUUAUCAUUCCAGGACAUGUUGAAACCCUUUGCAUUUAUUUGACUACACUCUCCAAAUUCUUGCUUAGGCUGGCUCUGGUCCCCCUCCCUUUUUCCUCCCCCCUUUUUUUGCUGGGGUUGUAAGAUAAUCUCAUGGCUGCCAGCUCACCCUUACCCUCUAAACAUGGGGUUGACAUUCCUAGAAACUCGACUUUGCCAGGAAUGGCAACCACAAAAAUUGUCACUGUCAGUACUUUGCAGUCAGGAAAGGCAAACCACACAUUUCUGUCCUUCUCCAAGUGGGAAGCGGAAAGGGUAGGCCUAGGCCAUCUCGACCAAGAGGUGACUUGGUUUCUGUGUCACGCUGCAGGUGGGGAGAAAGACAUUGCCCACAGGAAAUAACUGAUUUCCCAGUUGCCAGGAAAGAGUGAAUAGAGCAUAGCUUCUUAGCUGGAUCACGGAACCAAGAGUUUCUCAAACAAGGCACACAAACUAUUGGGGCAUUUUGUGUACAAGUCCCACAAAAUCAAACAAUGGGACCUGUGAGAUGCUUAGACGGAAAAUUGAGAACCUGUCAAAUGGCGUUCCUCUAUUUGAAGGGUUGUCCAGUCCAUAAGAACACAAGAAGAUCCCUUUUGGAUUAGGCCAAAGGCCCAUCUUGUCCAACACCCUGUUCUCACAGCGGCCAGCCAGAUGCCUGUGCAGGAGCCCAGGCCAUUUUCAAGAUGAAGAACCAAAAAAUGGGAGAGCAGAGGCCUGGAUGUUGCCCGUCAGCACCUAGACAGCAGGCAGAGGAGGCACAUGGGUUAGGUCACAUGGUCACAGCCUUCUUCACAAGGGCAAGAUUUCUCUUUAUUAAAUCAUCACCAUUCUUUCCAGAUUUGUGCCUAUACUUUAGCAUAUGCACACUUUAGCUGUGUCCUCUUUUUCAGUGAUGCUUUGCCUGUUUCUCUUCUCUUCUCUUCUCUUCUCAUCCCUUUUGCAAUGGGUUAAGUGGUUCGGUCCCAGCUCCUGCCCACCUAGCAGUUCAAAAGCACAUCAAGUGCAAGUAGAUAAAUGGGUAUCGCUCUGACGGGAAGGUAAACGGCAUUUCCAUGUGCUGCUCUGGUUCGCCAGACGCGGCUUAGUCAUGCUGGCCACAUGACCCAGAAGCUAUACACCGGCUCCCUCAGCCUAUAGAGCGAGAUGAGCAUUGCAACCCCAGAGUCUUCUGCGACUGGACCUAAUGGACAGGGGUACCUUUACCUUUACUCCCAGGUCCUAAUCUGCCUCUCUAACCACUACACCACCCUGCCUCUCUCAACAUUUUACGGGAUGAUGAUAUCGCUCCCCCUUCUAUGGCCAAUGCUGUAAACACAUUUUAUUUUACUUGCGUAGAAAUGUAUGUUCUGAGUGGUGUUCCGCUUCCUCUAUGCGGCAUUGCAAUAAUAUUAUUUGUGUUUGUGGUUUUUGCUCCGGUUCUUAUUUUCGUUCGGUGGCAUUUCAUGGCGGCUUGCCAAUGUUGUCUCCGAAACAUGAAUGUGACUAUUAGCCUGAGGUCACCAUGAAUUGAAGAUGAGCCAGCCGUGCAGAAAGAAGAUAUCUGGGGGAUAUUUUGUGCAUGUUUAUGUUAUUAUUUCCAACGUCUGGCAAAAAUGCAGAGUCAGAAAAUAUUCCCUGCUGGGAAUUUCCAGUGCAUGGAAAAAGACUCCAGUCUUUCUACAUCUAUAGGAGAGAUGCCGGCCACCUCCUAUGCAGCAGAACUGACUGGGUUUGACUGGGUGUCAGCUGACUCCCAGAUGGCAUUGUGGUUUUUGUAUACAGAGAGAGGCAAGUUCCCACACAUCUGCUCCUGGUCAGAUUAGGCAGCAAUUUAAGAGCUGCUGUAACAUGUCAGUUGGUAUUAACAAGCAUGGCAGGCACCACUUUCUACCUAGGGAUGUGGGUAGAUCAAUUCUAUUCACAUCUGAAGGAAAACUUACCUUAUUAGUAAAAUGAGAAAUAUGUUGAGGCCCUGGCAACAUACCUCUAUUUUUUCUCGCCUCAAGAAACACAAGAAGGGCCUUUACUCUAGCCAGAAACUUGGCCUUGCCUUCCCUGGUUUUGGAAGGAACAUUUGGAAAAGUCCUGUAUGCUCAGAGACUUUGCACUUGCCCAUUAGUGGAAAUAGCAAGCCCCAAGAAUUUAUUUUUUAGAUGUCCCUUUUAUGACGAAAUAAGCAGAGAUACCAUUGACCCUCAGCUGGAGAGGCUUGCUAACCUUUCAGAUAAGUCUAAACUCAAUUUUCUCCUCUUAGGCAAAGACCACAAGACGACCUGGAUGGUUGCCAGAUUCUGCGCGCAGAUUUGCAGGCGCAGACCACUCCCUGAAACAAAUUAUUUCACUAGGAAAACAGUCAAAGUUGGCCUACAUGGUGGCAGGGCCAAUUUGUAUGGUAGCCCAAAUUUUAGGUCUUUAUGUGCAUAUGCGUUUAUCUCAAAUUUUAAUCUUUAAGCUGUUGUUGUACAAUGUUUUAAAUGUAUAUUUUAUUCUUGUGAAAGCUGUCCCAAUUGUGGUUUUCGAGCUGGUCUUUGACCAUAAUAAAAUUAUGAAAUUA